ACGAACGCUGGCGGCGUGGAUAAGACAUGCAAGUCGAACGAGAGAAUUGCUAGCUUGCUAAUAAUUCUCUAGUGGCGCACGGGUGAGUAACACGUGAGUAACCUGCCCCCGAGAGCGGGAUAGCCCUGGGAAACUGGGAUUAAUACCGCAUAGUAUCGAAAGAUUAAAGCAGCAAUGCGCUUGGGGAUGGGCUCGCGGCCUAUUAGUUAGUUGGUGAGGUAACGGCUCACCAAGGCGAUGACGGGUAGCCGGUCUGAGAGGAUGUCCGGCCACACUGGAACUGAGACACGGUCCAGACACCUACGGGUGGCAGCAGUCGAGAAUCAUUCACAAUGGGGGAAACCCUGAUGGUGCGACGCCGCGUGGGGGAAUGAAGGUCUUCGGAUUGUAAACCCCUGUCAUGUGGGAGCAAAUUAAAAAGAUAGUACCACAAGAGGAAGAGACGGCUAACUCUGUGCCAGCAGCCGCGGUAAUACAGAGGUCUCAAGCGUUGUUCGGAAUCACUGGGCGUAAAGCGUGCGUAGGCUGUUUCGUAAGUCGUGUGUGAAAGGCGCGGGCUCAACCCGCGGACGGCACAUGAUACUGCGAGACUAGAGUAAUGGAGGGGGAACCGGAAUUCUCGGUGUAGCAGUGAAAUGCGUAGAUAUCGAGAGGAACACUCGUGGCGAAGGCGGGUUCCUGGACAUUAACUGACGCUGAGGCACGAAGGCCAGGGGAGCGAAAGGGAUUAGAUACCCCUGUAGUCCUGGCAGUAAACGGUGCACGCUUGGUGUGCGGGGAAUCGACCGCCUGCGUGCCGGAGCUAACGCGUUAAGCGUGCCGCCUGGGGAGUACGGUCGCAAGAUUAAAACUCAAAGAAAUUGACGGGGACCCGCACAAGCGGUGGAGUAUGUGGCUUAAUUCGAUGCAACGCGAAGAACCUUACCUGGGCUUGACAUGUAAUGAACAACAUGUGAAAGCAUGCGACUCUUCGGAGGCGUUACACAGGUGCUGCAUGGCCGUCGUCAGCUCGUGUCGUGAGAUGUUUGGUUAAGUCCAGCAACGAGCGCAACCCCUGUUGCCAGUUACCAGCACGUGAAGGUGGGGACUCUGGCGAGACUGCCCAGAUCAACUGGGAGGAAGGUGGGGACGACGUCAGGUCAGUAUGGCCCUUAUGCCCAGGGCUGCACACGUACUACAAUGCCCAGUACAGAGGGGGCCGAAGCCGCGAGGCGGAGGAAAUCCUAAAAACUGGGCCCAGUUCGGACUGUAGGCUGCAACCCGCCUACACGAAGCCGGAAUCGCUAGUAAUGGCGCAUCAGCUACGGCGCCGUGAAUACGUUCCCGGGUCUUGUACACACCGCCCGUCACAUCAUGGAAGCCGGUCGCACCCGAAGUAUCUGAAGCCAACCGCAAGGAGGCAGGGUCCUAAGGUGAGACUGGUAACUGGGAUG
rnacentral:rRNA from 1 species